rnacentral:rRNA from 1 species
AUUGAACGCUGGCGGCAUGCCUUACACAUGCAAGUCGAACGGCAGCACGGGAGCAAUCCUGGUGGCGAGUGGCGAACGGGUGAGUAAUAUAUCGGAACGUGCCCAGUCGUGGGGGAUGACGUAGCGAAAGCUACGCUAAUACCGCAUACGAUCUAUGGAUGAAAGCGGGGGAUCGCAAGACCUCGCGCGAUUGGAGCGGCCGAUAUCAGAUUAGGUAGUUGGUGAGGUAAAGGCACACCAAGCCGACGAUCUGUGGCUGGUCUGAGAGGACGACCAGCCACACUGGGACUGAGACACGGCCCAGACUCCUACGGGAGGCAGCAGUGGGGAAUUUUGGACAAUGGGCGCAAGCCUGAUCCAGCAAUGCCGCGUGCAGGAUGAAGGCCUUCGGGUUGUAAACUGCUUUUGUACGGAACGAAACGGCGAGCUCUAAUACAGUUUGCUAAUGACGGUACCGUAAGAAUAAGCACCGGCUAACUACGUGCCAGCAGCCGCAGUAA